AAACACAGUAACAGAUUAAGCUAGCGGG
rnacentral:sRNA from 1 species